rnacentral:rRNA from 1 species
GAUGAACGCUGGCGGCGUGCCUAAUACAUGCAAGUCGAGCGAACAGACGAGGAGCUUGCUCCUCUGACGUUAGCGGCGGACGGGUGAGGAACACGUGGAUAACCUACCUAUAAGACUGGGAUAACUUCGGGAAACCGGAGCUAAUACCGGAUAAUAUAUUGAACCGCAUGGUUCAAUGGUGAAAGACGGUGUUGCUGUCACUUAUAGAUGGAUCCGCGCUGCAUUAGCUAGUUGGUAAGGUAACGGCUUACCAAGGCAACGAUGCGUAGCCGACCUGAGAGGGUGAUCGCCCACACUGGACCUCACACACUGUCCAGACUCCUACGGGAGGCCGCAGUAGGGCAUCUUCCGCGAUUGGCGACAGCCUGACGGACCAAAGCCGCGUGAGUGAUGAAGGUCUUCGGAUCGUAAAACUCUGUUAUUAGGGAAGAACAAAUGUGUAAGUAACUAUGCACGUCUUGACGGUACCUAAUCAGAAAGCCACGGCUAACUACGUG